rnacentral:rRNA from 1 species
CGAAAGCCUGACGGAGCAAUACCGCGUGAGGGAGGAAGGUUCUUGGAUUGUAAACCUCUUUUCUCAGGGAAGAAAAAAAUGACGGUACCUGAGGAAUAAGCAUCGGCUAACUCCGUGCCAGCAGCCGCGGUAAUACGGGGGAUGCAAGCGUUAUCCGGAAUUAUUGGGCGUAAAGAGUCCGUAGGUGGUCUCACAAGUCGACUGUCAAAGCCCGCAGCUUAACUGCGGAGAGGCGGUGGAAACUGUGAGACUAGAGUAUGGUAGGGGUAGAGGGAAUUCCCAGUGUAGCGGUGAAAUGCGUAGAUAUUGGGAAGAACACCGGUGGCGAAAGCGCUCUACUGGACCAUAACUGACACUCAGGGACGAAAGCCAAGGUAGCG